UUUAUGUUGUUGUGAGUGGGUGUNGGGUUGAGUCUUUUUAUUUGGUGUGUGAUUANGUUUGUGUUGUUUUUUUUGUGGGGUAGAUAUAAAUGUUUUUUUUACGCGCGGGUAUACCCCCAGAUGGGGAAUAUNUAAGGCNCCUUUGUGGGUUAAAAUUGUCNGGGGGCCCAAGACAAUCCNGCGGGNUUAAAGAGCNGGGAAGGGAAGCCAAGCNCGUUUAUCCCGGAAAUUAUUGGGGCCGUUAAAGNCGUUCCGCAGGCCGGUUAAAUUAAAGUCUUGUUGUCAAAGCCCACAGCUCAACUGUGGAUCGGCAAUGAAACUGAUUAACUUGAGUGUGGUAGGGGUAGAGGGAAUUCCCGGUGUAGCGUAAAUGCGUAGAUAUCGGGAAGAACACCAGUGGCGAAGGCGCUCUACUGGGCCACAACUGACGNCUGAGGGACGAACUUUUC
rnacentral:rRNA from 1 species